UGAGAGGGAUUUCAUACUAUCCCCUGAGGGUGCCGUCCCAUGGAGCGGAAUAGCGUAACGCGGAACGAGAGCGGAACCAAUCACGAGCGUUCCGCAGUUUUCAGUAGGUUUUAGCGGAAUAACUUUUCGCAGUGCGCGCAGUUAACAUAUACAUACAUCUGUAUAUAUACACACACACACACACGGGACUAGAAAGUCUUCUUAGCAAUAACGUAGUGCAAUAAAACCGUUGUAUGUGUUAAACAAGAUAAGCAGUAAAAUAAGCUACAAGAAAAAUGAGCAGCGUUAAAUCAUCACAAUUAAGCAAAAAAUGUGGAUACUGUGGAUGGAUUGUAACAAAGAAUAUGGACUUGUUACAACAUUCGUGCUUCUCUGAAUAUGACAAAGCCACAAACAUGAUUUAUAAUUUAUAUCGAUGAGAAUAACAUCAUAACUAUAGUAAAUAAAGAUACCGAUACUCUUCCCGAACAGGAUGUCAAUCUUCCUGAAUUACAAGAUACAGAAAUAACAACGGACGAACUUCUAAUAGCAUGUGUUGCUCAGAAGCCUGCUUUAUAUGAUCACCGGUUACCGAUUGCCGAGCGGACAUUAUUUAAAAAAAAUGCUCUCUUUAUUUAUGCUUCUUUUUUAUUGCAUUCUCACGUUGUACCAUUUUUUAAUAUAUUAUA